rnacentral:lncRNA from 13 species
GAGAGGUUGAGCACUUAUUCAUAUGCUAAUUUUCCAUUAGGAUUUCUCUUCUAUGAAUUGUUUCUGUUUAUAUCCUUUGUUUUUCUUUCAUGUUGUUUGUCUCUCAUUUGUUUCUUUUUCUGAGUCAGCAUCUUGCUCUGUGGCCCACGCUGGAGUGCAGUGGCAUGAUUAUGGCUCCCUGUAACCUUGACCUCCUGGGCCCGUGUGCUCUGCCUACUACAGCCUCCUGAGUAGCCCCCGCUACUCAAGACCACAGGCAUGCACCAUCACGCCCAGAUCGUUUUUUAAUGUUUUUUAUAGCGAUGGAGUCUCACUACAUCUUUUGUAGAUCUUGCCGAGGCCAGUCUCAAAUUUCUGGGCUCAAGCAAUCCUCCUGCCUUGGUUUCCCGAAGCACUGGGAUUACAGCCUUGAAGACUUUACUGGAUUUACAUCACACUUUAACUCUCCGCUCCCCUGGGCUGUAUUUAAGACAUAUAGGAGAGUAAAAUAUGGAGACAGAGGGACAUGGAUGAAUCUGGAGAACAUCAUCCUCAGCAAACUGACACAAGAACAGAAAAUGAAACACCGCAUAUUCUCACUCAUAGGUGGGUGAUGAAAAAUGAGAACACAUGGACACAGAAAGGGGAGUACUAAACACUGGGGUCUACUGGGGGGAAAAGGGGAGGGCCAGUGGGAGGGGGAGGUGGGGAGGGAUAGCCUGGGGAGAAAUGCCAAAUGUGGGUGAAGGGGAGAAGAAAAGCAAAGCACACUGCCAUGUGUGUACCUACGCAACUGUUUUGCAUGCUCUGCUCAUGUACCCCAAAACCUAUAAUCCAAUAAAAAAUUAAAAAAAAAAAAUGUCUAUUCCA